GAUGAACGCUGGCGGCGUGCCUAAUACAUGCAAGUCGAGCGAACAGACGAGGAGCUUGCUCCUCUGACGUUAGCGGCGGACGGGUGAGUAACACGUGGAUAACCUACCUAUAAGACUGGGAUAACUUCGGGAAACCGGAGCUAAUACCGGAUAAUAUAUUGAACCGCAUGGUUCAAUAGUGAAAGACGGUUUUGCUGUCACUUAUAGAUGGAUCCGCGCCGCAUUAGCUAGUUGGUAAGGUAACGGCUUACCAAGGCGACGAUGCGUAGCCGACCUGAGAGGGGGAUCGGCCACACUGGAACUGAGACACGUCCCAGACUCCUACGGGAGGCAGCAGUAGGGAAUCUGCCGCAAUGGGCGAAAGCCUGACGGAGCAACGCCGCGUGAGUGAUGAAGGUCUUCGGAUCGUAAAACUCUGUUAUUAGGGAAGAACAAAUGUGUAAGUAACUAUGCACGUCUUGACGGUACCUAAUCAGAAAGCCACGGCUAACUACGU
rnacentral:rRNA from 1 species